CGUAGGGUGCAAGCGUUAAUCGGAAUUACUGGGCGUAAAGCGUGCGCAGGCGGUUGUGCAAGACAGAUGUGAAAUCCCCGGGCUCAACCUGGGAACUGCAUUUGUGACUGCACGGCUAGAGUGUGUCAGAGGGGGGUAGAAUUCCACGUGUAGCAGUGAAAUGCGUAGAUAUGUGGAGGAAUACCGAUGGCGAAGGCAGCCCCCUGGGAUAACACUGACGCUCAUGCACGAAAGCGUGGGGAGCAAACAGGAUUAGAUACCCUGGUAGUCCACGCCCUAAACGAUGUCAACUAGUUGUCGGGUCUUAAUUGACUUGGUAACGCAGCUAACGCGUGAAGUUGACCGCCUGGGGAGUACGGUCGCAAGAUUA
rnacentral:rRNA from 1 species